rnacentral:tRNA from 5 species
GCCUGGGUGGCGGAACGGUAGACGCGACGGACUCAAAAUCCGUUUCCUGUUAAAGGAGUGAGGGUUCAAGUCCCUCCCUAGGCACCA